AUUGAACGCUGGCGGCAGGCCUAACACAUGCAAGUCGAGCGGUUGAAGUUAGCUUUCUCCUGGAUUCAGCGGCGGACGGGUGAGUAAUUCCUAGGAAUCUGCCUGGUCGUGGGGGAUAACGUCCGGAAACGGGCGCUAAUACCGCAUACGUCCUGAGCGUUAAAGUGGGGUAUCUUCGUACCUCACUCUAUCAGCUGCGCCUAGGUCGGAUUAGCUAGUUGGUGGGGUAAUGGCCUACCAAGGCGACGAUCCGUAACUGGUCUGAUAGGAUGAUCAGUCAAACGGGAACUGGGACACGGUCAAGACUCCUAGGGGAGGAAGCAGAGGGGAAUAUUGGAAAAGGGGCGAAAGCCGGAUCAAGAAAGGCCGCGUGUGUGAAGAAGGUCUUCGGAUGGAAAAGCAUGUUAAGAGGGGAGGAAGGGGAGUAAGGUGAUAACUUGAUGUAGUGACGGUACCAACAGAAUAAGCAACGGCUAACUUCGUG
rnacentral:rRNA from 1 species